rnacentral:rRNA from 1 species
UACGGAGGGGUUAGCGUUGUUCGGAAUGACUGGCGUAAAGCGCGCGUAGGCGGGCAUUUAAGUCGGGGUGAAUCCGGGCUCAACCCGGAAUGGCCUUCGAUACUGGGCGCCUAGAGUUCGAGAGAGGUGAGUGGAAUUCCGAGUGUAGAGGUGAAAUUCGUAGAUAUUCGGAGGAACACCAGUGGCGAAGGCGGCUCCACGUGGCUCGACACUGACGCUGAGGUGCGAAAGCGUGGGGGAGCAAACAGG